rnacentral:rRNA from 1 species
ACGGGGUGCAGCAGGCGCGAAACCUCCGCAAUUCACGCAAGUGUGACGGGGGGACUCCGAGUGCACACGUUAAUUCGUUUGCUUUUCUAAAGUGUAAGUAGCUUUAGGAAUAAGAGCUGGGUAAGACGGGUGCCAGCCGCCGCGGUAAUACCCGCAGCUCGAGUGGUUUGGAGUAUUAUUGGGUCUAAAGCGUUCGUAGCCGGGACUGCAAGUUCUUUGUGAAAUCUGGCCGCUCAACGGUCAGGCGUGCAGGGGAUACUACAGUUCUUGAGACCGGGAUGGGUUAGAGGUACUUCAGGGGUAGGGGUGAAAUCCAAUAAUCCUUGGGGGACCACCUAUGGCUAAGGCAUCUAACUAAAACGGGUCUGACGGUGAGGAACGAAAGCCAGGGUAGCGAACGGGAUUAGAUACCCCGGUAGUCCUGGCCGUAAAUUAUGCGGAUUAGGUGUUGCAUCUCCUUCUUGGGUAUGCAGUGCCGAAGGAAGCCGAUAAAUCCGCCACCUGGAAGUACGUCGCAAG